UGGCAGCUGGUGGCGGGAGCGGGGGCGCCGCCUUCUGUCGACGGAGGCUGCUGACGGGAGCACGACCCGGGUGGGAGUCGCCCGGGGCCGGGCCCUCUUCCUCCGAGAGUCCGCCGGCGGAGCCUGGGGCCCGGCGAGCCAGGCAGAGGCCCUGGGACGUUGGCGAAGACCCGCGUGCUGGGCCCGUGUGUGCGCGUUACGGGCUCUGUGACCCCUGGCAGGCCCCUGAGGCCGGGCCUCAGUUUCCCCUCCUUCUAGAGGGCUUGCGACGUGAGAGUGGCCGAGAAGGAAAGAAAGUUCACGUCACAAGCACUGCCUACCUAAGAACUUUUAUAGAAAGCUGCUGACAAGACUGGAUGAGAUGCUACAGCUGACAAGUAUAUGAAAAAGAAUGAAAUAACUUGAGUUCUGGAGUGAACAGUUAAGUUCCUGGAUUGUUGAAAGUUCCAUUCUUUACAUGGGACUAACCAUCUUUUGUGAGGUAAUUACAGAAAUGCUGGCGAGCUCUUUCCAUUAGUGGUUCUUGCAUACAGUAUGCACUUCUUAUGUUGUGGGGCUCUUUUUUGUUGUUGUUCACAAUUCACCUUAGGGGUUUUCUCAAACUCUGCAUUCUUAUUCUAUAGCGGUUUUUAGCUUUCUUUUUUCUUUCCAGGCUGGGUGGAUGAUGCAGUUUCACUUCUAGGUGUUAGGAUUCUCUUUCACACUGGUUUGUCAUGACCUUAAAGUAUUUUAAGUUUCUCCUUUGGUAAAUUUUUCUUUUUUAAAAAUAUGGUACCCCAGUAAGCCAGAGAUUUGUUAUACCAAAUGAGUUUAUAUAAAAUGCCAGCACCUGGAGAAGCCAUAGUUCAUAAGCAUCGUUGGAGUUGACCAAAUGUCAAACCCCACCAGGGAUCUACAUUUUUAUUUAUUUUGACAGGUUUUGGGGUCCAGACUUAAAGGCUAUGGUUCUGAGUUGCCUUUAGGUUGCAAGAAUUGCCCAUGUGGUAUAUAAAUGCCAAAGAAGAAAAAAAAAUGUUAUAAUCAUAAUUGUCUUCAUGUAUAAUCGCCAUCAUAGCUCUUCCCUGUAGAUAACUGAGGAGGCCUAAUAGUCGUUUUGAGCUGCAGCCACCCACAAAAACCACACACAUGGCAUUUUACUCAAAACCUUACUUUAACCACUACUUUGUGAUGCAAAACUGGUGGAAUUUUGGGUACUUUCUGUAAAAUUGAAAUCUUUAAGGGGGUUUUCCAACAUUCUGGUUGAUUGUUAGCAAAUUAUCAGUAUAAUGAACAAGAGCAAAGUAGGGUUUGCUAAUAAACACCUACUUCUAUGGUAGGAUAGGAUGCCA
rnacentral:lncRNA from 12 species